rnacentral:rRNA from 1 species
CGCGUAGGCGGCCAACUAAGUCGGACGUGAAAUCCCUCGGCUCAACUGGGGAACUGCGUCCGAUACUGGUUGGCUUGAGUUCGGGAGAGGGAUGUGGAAUUCCAGGUGUAGCGGUGAAAUGCGUAGAUAUCUGGAGGAACACCGGUGGCGAAGGCGGCAUCCUGGACCGACACUGACGCUGAUGAGCGAAAGCCAGGGGAGCAAACG